rnacentral:rRNA from 1 species
ACUGCUCAGUAACACGUGGACAACCUACCCUUGGGUCUGGCAUAAUCCUGGGAAACUGGGGAUAAUUCCGGAUAGGCCACAGAUGCUGGAAUGCGCUGUGGCCGAAAGCUCCGGCGCCCAAGGAUGGGUCUGCGGCCUAUCAGGGUUGUAGUGGGUGUAAUGUACCUACUAGCCUACGACGGGUACGGGUUGUGAGAGCAAGAGCCCGGAGAUGGAUUCUGAGACACGAAUCCAGGCCCUACGGGGUGCAGCAGGCGCGAAAACUUUACAAUGCGGGAAACCGUGAUAAGGGAAUCUCGAGUGCCAGCAGCCGCGGUAAUACGAUCCCCCCGUGCCA